rnacentral:rRNA from 1 species
CAGCCGCCACGGUAAUACGUAGGUCCCGAGCGUUGCCCGGAUUUAUUGGGCGUAAAGCGAGCGCAGGCGGUUAGAUAAGUCUGAAGUUAAAGGCUGUGGCUUAACCAUAGUACGCUUUGGAAACUGUUUAACUUGAGUGCAAGAGGGGAGAGUGGAAUUCCAUGUGUAGCGGUGAAAUGCGUAGAUAUAUGGAGGAACACCGGUGGCGAAAGCGGCUCUCUGGCUUGUAACUGACGCUGAGGCUCGAAAGCGUGGGGAGCAAACAGGAUUAGAUACCCCAGUAGUCCCUGUCUCUUAUACA